rnacentral:rRNA from 1 species
AUUGAACGCUGGCGGCAUGCUUUACACAUGCAAGUCGAACGGCAGCGGGGAGGAGCUUGCUUCUCUGCCGUCGAGUGUCGAACGGGUGAGUAAUACAUCGGAACGUGUCGAGUAGAGGGGGAUAACCACCCGAAAGGGUGGCUAAUACCGCAUAAAUUCUGAGGAAGAAAGCUGGGGACCUAGUCAUAGGCCUAGCGCUUUUUGAGCCGCCGAUGUCGGAUUAGCUAGUUGGUGGGGUAAAGGCUCACCAAGGCGAAGAUCUGUAGCGGGUCUGAGAGGAUGAUCAGCCACACUGGAACUGAGACACGGCCCAGACUCCUACGGGAGGCAGCAGUGGGGAAUAUUGGACAAUGGGGGCAAGCCUGAUCCAGCCAUGCCGCGUGUAUGAAGAAGGCCUUAGGGUUGUAAAGUACUUUUGUUAGGGAAGAAAAGUAAGAGGUGAAUAAUGGCUGAUACUGACGGUACCUAAAGAAUAAGCACCGGCUAACUACGUG